rnacentral:tRNA from 1 species
UGGCUCAGGGUUAAAGAGUCUGCCUGUAAAGCAGGAGACCCGGGUUCAAUCCCUGG